UACGGGAGGCAGCAGUGGGGAAUAUUGCACAAUGGGCGCAAGCCUGAUGCAGCCAUGCCGCGUGUAUGAAGAAGGCCUUCGGGUUGUAAAGUACUUUCAGUCGUGAGGAAGGUGUUAAGGUUAAUAACCUUAGCAAUUGACGUUAGCGACAGAAGAAGCACCGGCUAACUCCGUGCCAGCAGCCGCGGUAAUACGGAGGGUGCGAGCGUUAAUCGGAAUUACUGGGCGUAAAGGGCACGCAGGCGGUUAAUUAAGUUGGAUGUGAAAUCCCCGGGCUUAACCUGGGAAUGGCAUUCAAGACUGGUUAGCUAGAGUCUUGUAGAGGGGGUAGAAUUCCAUGUGUAGCGGUGAAAUGCGUAGAGAUGUGGAGGAAUACCGGUGGCGAAGGCGGCCCCUGGCAAAGACUGACGCUCAUGUGCGAAAGCGUGAGGAGCAAACAGGAUUAGAUACC
rnacentral:rRNA from 1 species